ACUGGAAGCUGCUGGGACCACUUGGGACCGGUCAUGGGCAAAAGAAAUAUUUUUUUGUCCACUGUUGCAGUCUUCCUAGAGCAAAGUGGAGGUCUCUGUCUGCUUUAGGGCAGCCAGCUAAAUCAGAUCGUUCCCCUCCUUACACA
ensembl:scaRNA